UAAGAUAGCAGCGGCGGCAGCAGCGCGGCCAUGGCAGAAAUGCAGCGCGUGGCCGAAGCUCAGCGCCAGUACCUGCUCGACAUGAUCCCCGGCCAACAUGCGCGCAACCCCUGGACCAAGAACUAGCGAGGAUCGGAGGCUUCGGAUGAUUUAGAUAUUUUAGAUAAAGACUAGUAAGAAAUUUACAAUAGGUAAGCACCUGAGGAGUGGGCUUGUCGUAACAUAAGUAUCUUUUUAACGUUUUUAAUUAUAAAUUAAUGAUACAUAAUAAUGCACAAGAUUUAAAAAUACGUAAUUGUCUAGACGACCGGUAAGUUACAGUAAUAAAUGUAAUUAAUUUAAGACGAUCGUUUUGUAUGUCUGGUUUUAAAAUAAUAAAUAAUUUUAAGAU